rnacentral:tRNA from 1 species
CCGCCACCUUGGGCGGGCGGGUCGCGCCCAGGUCGUCCUGGGUGACCUCGAUGUGCUUGACGUUGCCGGUCAGUUUGACGUAGAUGACGGCCGU